rnacentral:tRNA from 1 species
CCAAUGGUGGUUCAGUAGUAGAAUUCUCACCUUCCAUGUGGGAGGUCCCAGGUUCGAUUCCUAGCCAAUACA